CCUGUCUCUUGAGGCCCGCCAACGAAAUUGAAUAACCAGUACAAAAGCUGGUAUUUUUUAGCAAGACAAAAAGACCCCGUGGAACUUUAACAAAUUAUUAAUAACAUUUAAUAAAAGUUUCGGUUGGGACAACCACAGAAAAACCAAACUUCCAAAUUAAACAAGACCAACAAGUCCAAUAUAGUGACCCAGUCAGACUGAUCAAUGAAACAAGCUACCCCGGGGAUAACAGCGCCACCUUCUAGAAGAGUUCAUAUCAACAAGAAGACCUACGACCUCGAUGUUGGAUCAGGAUACCCAGGCGGUGUAGCAGCUGUCAAAGGUUCGUUUGUUCAACGAUUAAAAUCCUACGUGAUCU
rnacentral:rRNA from 1 species